rnacentral:lncRNA from 1 species
GCUGCAUGUAGUCGUCUUUUCUGGCGUUGGCAACAUAAAUAUUGUCAAACUAGACGUGUUGGAGUUGCUCCAUUCUUCCAAUUCGCCACGGCAAACAUGGUUUUGUUCUACAUUUUCAACUAUGGUCGUCUA